UACGGAGGGUGCGAGCGUUGUCCGGAAUCACUGGGCGUAAAGGGCGCGUAGGCGGCCUGAUAAGUAGGGGGGUGAAAUCCUGCGGCUUAACCGCAGGGCUGCCUUCUAAACUGUCAGGCUAGAGCACGGUAGAGGCAGGUAGAAUUCCGGGUGUAGCGGUGGAAUGCGUAGAUAUUGGGAGGAACACCAGUGGCGAAGGCGGCUCACUGGACCGGUACUGACGCUGAGGCGCGAAAGCGUGGGGAGCAAACAGG
rnacentral:rRNA from 1 species